rnacentral:lncRNA from 1 species
CUCACAGCCACACAAGCGUCCGACCUCUACGGAUGGUACACAUGAAGUCUUCGGACCGAUCAGCCCUCCGUGGGAGUGCUGGCUCGCAUAGUCAGCUUCUGAUGGUAGAUCUGAUUUGAUCUCUUCCUUUGAUCACCUUGGAUCUUUUCAAUGUCGAAGAUGGAUCAGAGAGGAUGCUGGAUGGUGGAGAAAAAUUUGAUGAAGACUCUCUUCUCUUUGAUUUUUCUCUCACCCAAGAUCCUAGAACAGUUCUAGGUCGCUCACCUAAGAGGAGAUCGGUCUCCUCUUUUGUUCAUGCCAAGGA